rnacentral:rRNA from 1 species
UCGAGAGGCUUCGGCAAUGGGGGAAACCCUGACCGGGCGACGCCGCGUGGGUGAUGAAGAUUCUCGGAUCGUAAAACCCUGUCAGGUGGGAUGAAAAACCAUUCGGUUAAUACCCGAGUGGCUUGACAGUACCACCAGAGGAAGCUCCGGCCAACUCCGUGCCAGCAGCCGCGGUAACACGGGGGGAGCAAGCGUUGUUCGGAUUCAUUGGGCGUAAAGAGCUCGUAGGCCGCUCUGUAAGUCGGAAGUGAAAGACCACGGCUCAACCGUGGAAACGCUUUCGAAACUGUGGAGCUUGAGGCCGGGAGAGGAGAUCGGAAUUCCUGGUGUAGCGGUGAAAUGCGUAGAUAUCGGGAGGAACACCUG